AAAGGGAGACCUAAUUCAGGUAUGGGACGAAAAAAAAGUAGUCGCUACCAAGAAUCAAUCCCAAAAGGUCGGAGCGAGGCGAAAUUGGCUUUCAAACUAGGUUCUGGGUUCAAACAAGACCUGAAUCAGGAACAAGGGCUAUUAGCUCAGGUGGUUAGAGCGCACCCCUGAUAAGGGUGAGGUCCCUGGUUCGAGUCCAGGAUGGCCCACCUGCACAGGUGGCAAAAACAAAGAAGGGAGGAAUCAGCGCCUUAUCUUAUAUACAUAUAUAAGAGAGAAUGCUGGCUCUGAGUACAGAGUCCAGAGGAACCUUGAAAACUGCAUAGAGCUAGGUGAAAAAGCCAAAAAAGAAGACCGCAAG
rnacentral:tRNA from 1 species